rnacentral:rRNA from 1 species
AGGUUGACCUCGGAUCAGGUAGGGAUACCCGCUGAACUUAAGCAUAUCAAUAAGCGGAGGAAAAGAAACCAACAGGGAUUGCCCCAGUAACGGCGAGUGAAGCGGCAAGAGCUCAAAUUUGAAAGCUGGCUCCUUCGGGGUCCGCAUUGUAAUUUGCAGAGGAUGCUUCGGGAGCGGUCCCCAUCUAAGUGCCCUGGAACGGGACGUCAUAGAGGGUGAGAAUCCCGUAUGGGAUGGGGUGUCCGCGCCCGUGUGAAGCUCCUUCGACGAGUCGAGUUGUUUGGGAAUGCAGCUCUAAAUGGGUGGUAAAUUUCAUCUAAAGCUAAAUAUUGGCCGGAGACCGAUAGCGCACAAGUAGAGUGAUCGAAAGAUGAAAAGCACUUUGAAAAGAGAGUUAAAAAGCACGUGAAAUUGUUGAAAGGGAAGCGCUUGCGACCAGACUCGCUCGCGGGGUUCAGCCGGCAUUCGUGCCGGUGUACUUCCCCGCGGGCGGGCCAGCGUCGGUUUGGGCGGUCGGUCAAAGGCCCUCGGAAGGUAACGCCCCCAGGGGCCGUCUUAUAGCCGAGGGUGCAAUGCGACCUGCCUAGACCGAGGAACGCGCUUCGGCUCGGACGCUGGCAUAAUGGUCGUAAGCGACC